AAUCCAUAGGUUAAUGAGGCGAACCGGGGGAACUGAAACAUCUAAGUACCCCGAGGAAAAGAAAUCAACCGAGAUUCCCCCAGUAGCGGCGAGCGAACGGGGAGGAGCCCAGAGCCUGAAUCAGCAUGUGUGUUAGUGGAAGCGUCUGGAAAGGCGCGCGAUACAGGGUGACAGCCCCGUACACAAAAGCGCAUGUGCUGUGAGCUCGAUGAGUAGGGCGGGACACGUGGUAUCCUGUCUGAAUAUGGGGGGACCAUCCUCCAAGGCUAAAUACUCCUGACUGACCGAUAGUGAACCAGUACCGUGAGGGAAAGGCGAAAAGAACCCCGGCGAGGGGAGUGAAAAAGAACCUGAAACCGUGUACGUACAAGCAGUGGGAGCACCCUUUUGGGUGUGACUGCGUACCUUUUGUAUAAUGGGUCAGCGACUUAUAUUCUGUAGCAAGGUUAACCGCAUAGGGGAGCCGGAGGGAAACC
rnacentral:rRNA from 1 species